rnacentral:rRNA from 1 species
GACGUAGGGCGCGAGCGUUGUCCGGAUUUAUUGGGCGUAAAGAGCUCGUAGGCGGCUUGUCGCGUCGUCCGUGAAAACUUGGGGCUCAACCCCAAGCUUGCGGUCGAUACGGGCAGGCUAGAGUUCGGUAGGGGAGACUGGAAUUCCUGGUGUAGCGGUGAAAUGCGCAGAUAUCAGGAGGAACACCGGUGGCGAAGGCGGGUCUCUGGGCCGAUACUGACGCUGAGGGGCGAAAGCGUGGGGAGCGAACAGG